UAAGCGGAGGAAAAGAACUAACAAGGAUUCCCCUAGUAACUGCGAGUGAAGCGGGAAAAGCUCAAAUUUGGAAUCUGGUGGUCUUUGGCCAUCCGAGUUGUAAUUUAGAGAAGCGUCUUCCGCGCUGGACCGUGCACAAGUCUCCUGGAAUGGAGCGUCAUAGAGGGUGAGAAUCCCGUCUUUGGCAUGGAAUCCCAGGGCUUCUGUGAUGCGCUCUCGACGAGUCGAGUUGUUUGGGAAUGCAGCUCAAAAUGGGUGGUGAACUCCAUCUAAAGCUAAAUAUUGGCGAGAGACCGAUAGCGAACAAGUACCGUGAGGGAAAGAUGAAAAGCACUUUGGAAAGAGAGUGAAACAGUACGUGAAAUUGUUGAAAGGGAGACGCUUGAAGUCAGUCGCGUCGACCGAGACUCAGCCUUGCCUCGGCUUGGUGUACUUCUCGGCUUGACGGGUCAGCAUCGAUUUCAAUCCUCGGAUAAUGGCAAGGGAAAGGUAGCACCUUUUUAGGUGUGUUAUAGUCCUCUGUCGCAUGCGAGGGUCGGGAUCGAGGAACUCAGCACGCACCUCAGGGUGUCGGGGCCUUGGCCCACGUUUACGUGCUUAGGAUGCUGGCGUAAUGGCUUUAAACGACC
rnacentral:rRNA from 1 species